ACAAUAGCCACACCAUGAUCACGCCAGAACAGCCCGGAUCCGUUGGUUUGGUUAUCAAUGGUUCAGAUCAAUCCGCACGAAGAUGUAUCCUCAGCUUCUAAUCUGGCGCGCUAGCAUAAGAUCCAACAGCGGCUAUUCAAACCCCCCUUCUUCACCUCCCCAGACGAAAAACGCGGCGGCACGGAUAGCCCCCACCAUGGCGGAGCCAUGGCCGGCCAUGGCUGUCUCGCGCCAUGGUGCUUCAAGUUCAAAACUGAAUGCCACAAAAUCGUAUGGAGGACAAAGCGAAGGUGCCAGCGGACUUUUUACCUGGAUAUAGUACGCCCACAUAUCCCGCCCACGGUAUAGGUGGCUCCGCGGUGGCGCCCCCAGGUCCGGUGAAGAAUUCUCGACGAGUCCCGCCAUUCCCCACCCCGAAAGGUCACGCAAACACGCGGUGUAUGUCGGUGAAGCACUCAGCCCUCCCAAUUUGGCCUGACCGGCAAGGCAGCCGAAAGGCACCGGCAAUGCCCCA
rnacentral:lncRNA from 7 species